AAGGAUCAUUACUGCUUGCUUAUGGCCUCGCAGGGGGCAACCCUUGCAAGGUCAGGCAACGUUACCCUUGUCUAUGUAUACCUAUUGUUAUUUCCCUCGGCGGGCCUGCCCGCCGCUGGGGACACCAUAAACCCUUUUGCAUAAAGUAUCAACCCUUCUGAAACAAACCAAAAUAAUUACAACUUUUAACAAUGGAUCUCUUGGUUCUG
rnacentral:misc_RNA from 1 species